rnacentral:sRNA from 1 species
UCCAAGCAACACAAGCGGUACACGAAAC